rnacentral:rRNA from 1 species
UACGUAGGGGGCAAGCGUUGUCCGGAAUCAUUGGGCGUAAAGCGCGUGUAGGCGGUUCGGUAAGUCUGCUGUGAAAGUCCAGGGCUCAACCCUGGGAUGCCGGUCGAUACUGCCGGACUAGAGUUCGGAAGAGGCGAGUGGAAUUCCCGGUGUAGCGGUGAAAUGCGCAGAUAUCGGGAGGAACACCUAUGGCGAAGGCAGCUCGCUGGGACGUUACUGACGCUGAGACGCGAAAGCGUGGGGGAGCAAACAGG